AGAGUUUGAUCAUGGCUCAGAACGAACGCUGGCGGCGUGGAUUAGGCAUGCAAGUCGUGCGUGAAAGCGGUAGCAAUACUGCGAGUAAAGCGGCGAACUGGUGAGUACAAGGUGAAUUACGUGCCCUUGAGUGGGGGAUAACCCGCCGAAAGGCGGGCUAAUACCGCAUGGUUUCCGAAAGGAAUAAAGCAGCAAUGCGCUCGAGGAUCGGUUCACCUCCCAUUAGCUAGUUGGUGGGGUAAUGGCCCACCAAGGCUACGAUGGGUAGCUGGUCUGAGAGGAUGGUCAGCCACACUGGAACUGAGAUACGGUCCAGACUCCUACGGGGGGCAGCAGUCUAGAGGCUUCGUCAAUGCCCGAAAGGGUGAACGAGCGACGCCGCGUGCGGGAUGAAGGCUUUCGGGUCGUAAACCGCUUUUGUUUGGGAAGAAUGCCUGUGUCGUGAACAUGGGAGGGACGGUACCAGACGAAUAAGCCUCGGCUAACUCCGUGCCAGCAGCCGCGGUAAGACGGAGGAGGCAAGCGUUGUUCGGAAUUAUUGGGCGUAAAGGGCUCGUAGGCGGACCAGCAAGUCUGGCGUGAAAUCUCCACCGCUCACCGGGGAGAGGUCGCUGGAAACUGCUGGUCUGGAGUUUGGCAGAGGGUCGUGGAAUUCCAAGUGUAGCGGUGGAAUGCGUAGAUAUUUGGAAGAACACCUGUGGCGAAGGCGGCGACCUGGGCCAAAACUGACGCUGAGGAGCGAAAGCUAGGGGAGCAAACGGGAUUAGAUACCCCGGUAGUCCUAGCUGUAAACGGUGGAUAUUAGGUGUGGGGGGGUAUCGACCCCCUCCGUGCCGCAGUUAACACAUUAAAUAUCCCGCCUGGGAAGUACGGCCGCAAGGUUGAAACUCAAAGGAAUUGACGG
rnacentral:rRNA from 1 species